rnacentral:tRNA from 1 species
GGGACUUAGGUUAGCACAAGACCGAGGGCCUUCAAAGCCCUAGGCGAGAGUGAAAAUCUCCCAGCCCCUG